rnacentral:misc_RNA from 1 species
GUCUAGAGUAGUACUGAAGCAUACAAGAAAAGGAAACGAAAGUCACAUCCAACUACCCCAUGUAAGUCCAACUUCUAUUGGCUAUUUGUCUUGCAAUCAAAGAAACAAAGGAAAGUUUAUUGCUUGUGAAGAUGAACAUAUUGCAUAUGCUUAUAAAAAAGUGUCAUAAUUAGCAGAAAACACUAUAAAUUCCCAAGUCCGAACAAGACAGCAAACGAAUAAAGCUGCCACGUGCCACUUCUAGUGUAUCUAUCGAGAACAUACCGAAUGUGACAUUUGCGAGUAUAAUUCUUUCUUGAGGUGGAUUUUCUUUUUGUUUACAGAUCGUUCCUUUCUUUUCAUAUAUUCCUUGCUUCCUCAGCAAACCUAGAUCAGAUCACUGACCUCUUCCUUUCCUUCCUUCCCAACAUUAUAAGAGUGGCAGAGGUGUAGCUAUAGUUUGUGAAUCAAAUCAAAAAAUGGCAGACUGGGGGCCUGUGGUGAUAGCAGUUGUACUGUUUGUGCUGUUAAGUCCUGGAUUACUAUUCCAGUUGCCUGGAAAGGGGAGAAUUGUUGAGUUUGGGAAUAUGCAGACAAGUGGGAUUUCUAUACUGGUUCAUACCAUCAUCUUCUUUGCUCUUAUUACCAUCUUCCUUAUUGCCAUUGGUGUUCAUAUUUACACUGGAUAGCCAUGUUAAAUUGUAGCUCAUUCACUUUUCAAAGCUUGUUUAAUUUGUUGAUCUGUCUGAUGUAUUCUCUUGUAUUUAGUACUGCCCUUUUCUUAAUUGUAUUAGCUGCUGGUGUAUAAAUGGUCUUAGAACUCUGCCAUCUUCUGUAAGAGAGUAAAAUUCUGAAGGAAUGAUCUUUCAGAAGCAUAUAGCUCUGUAUAUGGAGGAUGGUUUUAUCAAUUAUUGCUUGUGCUUUGAUGGCAAUAAUGUUUUCUUUAUCAUUAUUUGGUUACUUUCAAUCCUGCACUCCAAAUUGGCAAAAUGCUACUUGGUAAGAUAGAGAAAUCAACCAAAUCAGAUUAGAUCUAAUUCUGAUGUUGUGUUCAAUGGCCGGUGAAACACUGGAAAAAAAGAGUAAAAUCCAGCUCACAGAGUUUAUGGCUCUGGGUAGGUUGGAAUUGCUAAAUUUUCAUAUAGACACCUGUGAUUUGGUGGCAUUAAGAUAUUGGACCAGCAUUUGCUUGUUUGCAGUGCGUAACAAGUUUACAGUGCCACGCGGCAUCUGUUUUCUUCCUUAGAAGGCAUUUCAUUUCUUAA